rnacentral:rRNA from 1 species
AGCAGCCGCGGUAAUUCCAGCUCCAAUAGCGUAUAUUAAAGUUGUUGCAGUUAAAAAGCUCGUAGUUGAAUUUCGGGGUCAGUAGGUUGGUCAUGCCACUGGUAUGUACUGGUCUCGCUGAUUCCUCCUUCCUGAUGAGCCGUAAUGCCAUUAAUUUGGUGUUGCGAGGAAUCUGGACUGUUACUUUGAAAAAAUUAGAGUGUUUAAAGCAGGCUAACGCUUGAAUACAUUAGCAUGGAAUAAUGAAAUAGGACGUUCGAUCUUAUUUUGUUGGUUUCUAAGAUUGACGUAAUGAUUAAUAGGGAUAGUUGGGGGCAUUAGUAUUCAAUUGUCAGAGGUGAAAUUCUUGGAUUUAUUGAAGACUAACUACUGCGAAAGCAUUUGCCAAGGAUGUUUUCAUUAAUCAAGAACGAAAGUUAGGGGAUCGAAGACGAUCAGAUACCGUCGUAG